UGAAAAUGUGUGAGUGCCAUACUGUGAUC
rnacentral:piRNA from 1 species